GUCCCGUGGCGCAAGGUGCGCACCCUCUUCCGGUCCUUGGACAAUAAUCGUUUCGGAGGGUACCCAGGUUCGAUUCCUGGAUGGGGCG